rnacentral:snRNA from 1 species
GUGCUCGCUUCGGCAGCACAUAUACUAAAAUUGGAACGAUACAGAGAAGAUCAGCAUGGCCCCUGUGCAAGGAUGACAUGCAAAUUCGUGAAGCAUUCCAUACUUUU